GGAUUAGAUACCCUGGUAGUCCACGCCGUAAACGAUGAAGACUAGGUGUUAGGGGGCUUGACCUCUUAGUGCCGUAGCUAACGCAUUAAGUCUUCCGCCUGGGGAGUACGGCCGCAAGGCUAAAACUCAAAGGAAUUGACGGGGGCCCGCACAAGCGGUGGAGCAUGUGGUUUAAUUCGAUGCAACGCGAAAAACCUUACCUACCCUUGACAUUGAUGGAAUCUUUUGGAGACAGAAGAGUGCCUUCGGGAACCAUUAAACAGGUGCUGCAUGGCUGUCGUCAGCUCGUGCCG
rnacentral:rRNA from 1 species